CCUGCAUGUUGUUGUUAUGUAGUGUCAAAGUCUGUUCUCUGUGCCAUGGACUUAACAUCUCUUCUCUGCUUUUCCUUUACGACAUAUCUUUUUGGAUUUGCUUCUGCUCUCGAUGGUCAGACAGGAGGACACACAGAGGAUGGAUCUGUUGGACUGAUCAUUGGACUAAACAAAACUGGAAACAUCACAGUGAAGAUGACAGAGGAGCAGUUUGAAGAGGAAAUGGAUUCUGUUCUGUUCUUCACUCAUCACCUACCUGACAGCUGACACCUCACACCUGUUUCUCAAGUGUGCUAAUGUGCACUGAUGUUCUUACAGCCAACUAAGAGGAAAAAGCAAAUCUUUAUUGUCUCGGUUAUCACCAACAGUACUUAGUGGUGGAAUAAGUUUCUCCCUGGCUGUCAUUCUUCCCCUGAUGUGACUGUCUUUCUGCAUGAUGUGUAAGUAAUGUUGUCUUGUAAGCUUUUCAUUCUGAGAAAUUAAAAGCUAAUAACAGUUUUGUACAUUGGAUUGUGGUGUACUAUGACUUUCUUGCUGCUAUCAAUGAAACAAAAAAUGAAUCCUGCAACAACCUAUUUUAUGUGGAUUAUGUGUUUUUAUUGUUUACUAGCCAUGGUUAUUUUCUACAGAAGUGAAUAUAAAAGCCUUUGUUCCUCUUGGCUCAUUUAUUCUCUCUGGUCUGCUGUUGGAGAGUUCAUGUUAAUGCAGAUCUAAUUCCACUGGAAUCUUGAAGUUCCAGUCCCAGAGAAACCACAAGCACUGAAUAGGUUCCUAUAAUUAAGAAUGGGGAAACAUCCAUUGCUCGAAGAGGUUGGAUGUUUCCAAUCACUGAUUGAUUGGAAUUUCAAAUGCAUUUUUAAAAGUUCCACUAUUAUCUACUUUCAUGUCCUCAUUCCUUUAUGAGUCUUAUUGAAUGCAAAGUUAAAGUCAUUUGUUGGAUUGUAACUUUAAUUGACAGUGGGUAAAUCCAGGGAAUAUCCUUGGUUACUGUUAACAACUUAUUAUAAAUUAAAAGAAGGAGGGAAAAUAAAAUGGAC
ensembl:lncRNA